CCUACGGGAGGCAGCAGUGGGGAAUAUUGGGCAAUGGGCGCAAGCCUGACCCAGCAACGCCGCGUGAAGGAAGAAGGCUUUCGGGUUGUAAACUUCUUUUCUCAGGGACGAAGCAAGUGACGGUCCCUGCUGAAUAAGCCACGGCUACCUACGUGCCAGCAGCGGCGGUAAUACGUAGGUGGCAAGCGUUAUCCGGAUUUACUGGGUGUAAAGGGCGUGUAGGCGGGGAGGCAAGUCAGAUGUGAAAACCACGGGCUCAACCUGGGGCCUGCAUUUGAAACUGUGUUGCUGGAGUACGGGAGAGGCAGACGGAAUGCCUGGUGUAGCGGUGAAAUGCGUAGAUAUUAGGAGGAACACCAGUGGCGAAGGCGGUCUGCUGGACAGCAACUGACGCUGAGGCGCGAAAGCGUGGGGAGCAAACAGGAUUAGAUACCCGAGUAGUC
rnacentral:rRNA from 1 species